GGAGGGGUGGGUGAGCGGUUGAAACCACGCGCCUGGAGAGCGCGUAGGCGGGCUAAAACCUGUCUCGUGGGUUCAAAUCCCACCCCCUCCGCCA
rnacentral:tRNA from 1 species